GUCUCUUUGGUAAUGUAGAAUUGUUGCUUCCACUCAUACAAUUUCUGACCGGAAUAAGAACAGUCCCAUAAUUCCUGAGUUAGCCAGAUGAUAUGUUGCAAUAGCCUGGCGUCCACACUCGAAAUGCUGAUUUGCACAAAUAUAUUGUAACAAAUGGUGGAAGGUUCUCAAUCAUUAAUUCAGACAACAUUGGAAAUUCUGCACAAACGCCAAGUGAAAAAAAGCCUUCAAGGUUUUUGGAGAAAAUUCAAGCCUGAGAGUUGAAUCACUUGAGUGUCCUGCAUAAUUUUACUGAGUUUUUAAUGGCAGUUGUUUUAGACACUUUGUUUCUAUUGUGAACAAUUUAAGAAGCAGCAGUAACAAGAAAAUUGCAGAUAAUCCUUGUUCUAAUAAUCGUUUUUAAACAUAAAUCAGAAACACUGGGACACACGCACACACACACACACACACACACAAAUAACUAAUCUUUCACAAAAAAAUAUUAACCUUUUUACUCAGCAAAGGAUUAAAUUCUACAUCAGCCACAAAAAAUCAAAUAUAUCCCAGAUGACAAUGCAGAGUUCUACAGAAAACUUAGAUUAGCUGAAUCAAAAGCAAAUUCUAUCCUUAAAGAGGAAGAAAUAUAACUCUUAAAGAAUUUUGUGAACAUACUUCAAACUUGCCUAUAGAAAACUAGAAAACAAAGCAAAUAAAAUCUAAUUUUUGUAGACAACAAUGAAUUCACCGAACAGAUUUUCUAUUUGCCAAAUAUAUAAUUACUAAGGAAGCCAACAAAGAAGGCUCACUUGUUAUUUAGGAUAUGAAAUAUCAUGUGAAUAUUGUAUUAAAUAUACUACAAGGCAAUACAUACAACGAAGAAGCAAAAUUUACAAACUUAUAAAAAUCCUUUAAUUAUUUGCUAUAUACAUAUAGAAAUUACUUAACUGAUAAAGAACUGGAUUACCUUACAAACUUCAAAUACAGAACAAGCAAUUUCUAUGUAUUAUCUAAUAUACAAAAGAACAAACUAAUAAAUGAGACAUGUUAAUAAGCAAGGACCAAUCCACCACCAUCGGAUUUAAAAUUGAAAUCCAUUGUAGCAGGCUUGUCUUGUGAAACUCAUUACUUAAGUCACUUCCUAGACAUUCUGCUAAAGCCUUUCCCCAGGCACAUAAAAAGCUUUGUACAAGAUGAUCUCAACAUAUUCAGCCAUCUUCUUUAUACAUCAUCAUUGUCAUCAUUAUCAUCGUUUAACGUCUGCUUUCCAUGCUGGCAUGGGUUAGACAGUUUGAUAUGGAGCUGGCUAGCUGGGAGCUGUCCAAACCCCAGCUGUCUGUUGAGAAAUGGUUUCUAUGGCUGGAUGCCCUCCCUAAUA